UGAAGAAUUUGUCCAACGGUGGGGGAUAGCCGGCCCAACGGCCGGGUAAUACCGCGUACGACCACAUGGGGACAUCCCUGAGUGGUGAAAGCAGCAAUGCGCCGAUGGAGUGCCUCGCGGCCUAUCAGCUAGUUGGUGGGGUAACGGCCUACCAAGGCAACGACGGGUAGCUGGU
rnacentral:rRNA from 1 species